CGCGGGGAAGGCCCGUGUGAGGCUGCGGGGCUCGGAGCCCCCGUGCUCCGUCCCGAUGGGCUCAGGGCGAGGAGCGGAGCGUGACGAGAGCUCUCGCUGCUGGGAGCCCGCUGCUAAAGGCGGUGAGGGAAACUCUCAGCUCUUUGCUGUGCCCCCUCUCCGUCCUCUUCCAGUUUGAAGGAGUGAAGAAAGUGUAGUAGCAGAGUGAUCGAGGCACACCUGGUGCUUUGUGAAAGAACAAAAGGUUAAAAGGCACGUUAGUACACUUAGAUGUUAGGUAAAAUAAUAAUAAAAACGUGGGCUGUGAUAUUGACAUCUAGGAGGAAAAAAGCUUGUUUUGUAUUUGCUUAUAGUCAUUCCCCGGAAAUGAUUAUUUCCAAAAAUAGCUUCCUACUGACUUCAAAUGGAGGGGGUUUGGCACUUCAGAUGAUAUGUUACGAGUAUUCUUAACGUGGAGAUGUUGAACCCCAAGUUAUGCAGUGGGCUGCAGUGGUGGAAGCGGUGGUUUUGAAGGUGAUGCCCAUUUUUAAAGAAACGAGACCAAACUGGAAAAUUAAAAGAGUUAACUGCAGGCACUCACUUUACAUUAUGGUAUAUUAUGCUGUAUACUUUUUCGUUCCUGCUUUUUUUAAUAAACUACUUUUGAUGCUGUGUUGAAGGGCAUACUGCAUAAUUAUAGCUUUGGUAAGUUGUGUUGGCCUUCCCCUCCCCCCCCCCCCAGUUUGAUACAGGACAAACUGGAAUUUACUCCUUAUGUACCUUAACUAUUCUCCUAACUCUUUUUCUGAAGUGAGACUUUCUCUUUUGUCUGUGUCUACAAGACUUCUAGUUGUGAAGAUUACACAACAAGGUUUGGAGAUAUUAUUAGAAGCUUUCAACUGGAAGGUGCUAAUUGCUGUAUGAUCAGAGUAACAAUAAAUUGUUACUUUUCAAUUUAUUAAUUUGUAGGAUUUAAAUGAAUAUGCUUGUUCAGAAGUGCUGAACUCUAUAUUAGAUACAAAAUUGUCUUAGUGAUAAUGUUUCGGUGAAAGUGGCAGCUCAGUACUCAGCAGUCAAAAAGUUAAAAAAAACAUUAGGACUCUCAAGUAAGUGAAAAUAAAAGGGCAUCAGUAUGUCACUGUAUAGAUCCUUGUUGGGUAAACAUAUGUAUUACUAAAUGCAGUUUGGAUAUUUAUACUGUCUUUCUCUUCUAGCUCAAAAAGACUUAAGAACAAAAGUAGGGAGAAAGUUCAUUAGGACUUCUUAUGCAGGGGAAGAGUUGCAAGAGGAAGGAUAAGAGACUGAAGUUUAAGUAGUGAGCAAAGUAGAUAGGAAGCAAUAGCUUUUCUCACCUGUUCAUGAAAGGUUCCUGUAGUUUACAAAUAAAAAUAAAUAAUAAAUAAAGCAAUCAAAUUGUAUAUAAUGUGUAACUACAAUUUCUGGUGCAGCAGAAUCUUAGGAAUGUUGGAGUAUCCCAGACUCAGUAAACAUCAAGAUGACUGGUCAGUGGGAGGCCUUGCUUUUAUGCUCCUUCAUAGUUGUCCUCCAUUGGAUCAUGGUAGAGGGAAGCCAACAAGCUGGGGAGAAGGAAGUUUGUCUGACAUAAGAUUGUACACAUAUUUUAUAAAAGUUGCAGUGUUUUUGCAAACUACUGCGAUGGUCUGCAGAUUAUGGGAAGAAAAUAAGCAGAAUAGUUCAAAAAAACUACAGUAUGGUGUACACAGAACAUAUGACAUGUCCCAUUUCAAAAAUGUGUAGAUUCCUUUUCCUUGAUGCAAAGAUGCUUUAGCACACCUUUUCAUAGAGUCUGAGCAUCACUACUUAAUCUGUGUUCUCUUUCACUAUGAAUGGACCAAGUACUCAUUGAUCUGUAACUGAAUGCAAAUUGAUGGCAAAAAAGAAAAAAAAAAAAAGUCUGUCCUUUUUAGAAGAGCAAGGAGAUGCUUAGUAAAAUGGAUGUGGUAAGCUUGGAGUUGACGUACUCUGUAUAAGCUUGAACUCUCAUUUACAGUCUACAGAAGAAUUUGGAAAGGAUUAGAGAUGCUUUAGGGAUAGUGAGCAUUAUAGUAAGUGCUGGGACUACUGACAAGUUGUAUUUUGGGGCAUGAUCUAGUUGCAUUAAAACAUUCUUCAGUUAUAAGGAGUUAUGCCAUGGUUCCAUAAUUCUCAGUGAGAAAAUCCGGUUUUCUUUUUCUCUCUCAUAGUUGGUACGAGCUAUGGAUACUGAGCUUGAUAGAUAGAGUUGGCAGAGCAGAGAGGUGGUUACAGUGUUCCCUUUCCUUGUGUUAUAAUGUAUAUCUGGGUAAGUGCUGACCAGCUGUGUCCCGUCACCUUCAUGUGUUCAAUACUCAUUUCUUCAUAUUGAUAGCACAGAAACUUGGUUUGUUUUUUUCCCCAGGAAGUGGCUUUAUUUAAAAAGAAAGUAGAAGUAUAAUUUUAGUACUGUACAGAACUGUAACUUCUGCAUAAUUAAGUGAAAUGCGCUUUUAAAACACUCCACCCUGAAGGCUAAGAAUGUUUAAAGACAGAAUUGGGCUUUCUCCACUCCAUCAAGGUAUUUCUUCAAUCUUUAGCCUUCCCUGACUUCCGCAUGGGUUGUAAUAAACCAGAAGAGACCUGAUAGAUAGUAAUAACUAAAGGUUCACUUUCUACCUGGAGUUAUUGCAAUCUUUGGUUGGGAUUUGAAGGUUUGGUGGUUCAAACUGUGUUAAUCAUUUGAGGGAAUGGGCAGUUGCAGGAUUGUCAUUAAGGAGCCGUUCUGAAAGAUUUAAUCUGCAGGACAAAGCAGUGCCUACUGUAUUAAAGUAUGCUUUGAUAUUCUCUGAAAGCUUGGUCUUGGUAGUUCUUACUUGCUUUGCCUACUGAUGUUAAGUGUUUGAAUACUGAGCAGCUGAUUUCUGUUUUUUAUUGGUAAAGGAAAAUUUUCCUGAUAUGUUUUUACUUUCAAACUGCUGCAACUUCUCUGCUUCUCAAGUCCAGGAGUGAAACUGGUAUCAAAGAAUUUACUUGCAAGGUUGCACAUCUUUUAUGCAGAAAUGGUGAAAUGUCCUUCUUUGGUGGGAAAAGAGAGAAGAGUGGUGCUCCAACUUCUUGCAUCUUAGAGCCAGGGGCUUUUGUACCUCUUCUCAUGGCUUUUAUGUAAGUUUGUACACAGCUGUGAAUCUGCCAGUUUGUGGGUUGUUUUCUUUUUUUGUGUGUGUGGCACUGUGGAUCCCUUCUGACCAAGAAAAUGGAAUCUUUUUUUUUUCUCUUAAAACUUGCUAAUAUGUAAGUCUUGUAGAAAACCUAUUCUGCCAUGCUUAGGUUUUCGUUUUUGGAAGAGGACAUAAAGUAAAAGAAGGUGUAUACAAUAUAACAAUGUUUUGACUGCUCUCACUCUUACACUUUUUUUUUUUUAAUCCAUGACCUUUUAAUGUCUUUCUGCUGAAGUUAAAUGCCCAUGUUGCCAAUCUAUGUGAAGUUAUUAAUCAAGAAGUGAUAUGAUCUCUGUGAAAGGCUUGGGGUGGGGAAAGGUAUGCUCCUCCCCUCCCCCCAACCACUGAAGGUCAUUUUUAGUUACUAUUGCUGUCUGGCAUGGUACUGCCAAAAUGAUCUCUGAGACUUGAGAAACUGAAUUACUACUGAAGGUGGAUAAUGGGCACAGAAAGGUACACUGCUUUGAAAAUAAGACUUGAUUUGAAGCUCUGUUUCUGGCAUAUGUUCUGUGAGUAUGUGGAAUAUGUGUGUAUUCAUUUAUUCAACUUAUUAAUUAUUCUUAUUAUGAUGUACUAAUGGUUUCCUGUUUCUGCGAGGCUAAACAAGGAUAAUAUUGACCCAAGAAAAUGAAUGGUUUCUAGCAGUUAAGUGGCCAGCGUGAGCCUGAAUGGUAGAGACUGCAAAAGGGAAGUGACACAGUUGUGCUACUGAGCCUAGUGAUUAUUCUUUUUUUCUUCUUUCAUUAUUUUUACAGUUAUUCUGAACAAAGCCUGCAUUUCCUCUUAGCUUAAGACAAUUAAACUGGAUCCCAUGGACCUCAUUUUAAUAUUUUACUACUUUUAAAGAAAAGUUUUUCUUUGGUUGUCAUAGAGAAUAGUUAUAUAUUUAUCUCAGUAAACAUCGGCCUCCUGAAUUGAAGAAACACUGCAAGCUGUAACUGGUGCUUCAAAACCAAGCUGAUUAUUUGUGUAUGGUCAGGUGUUAUAUGUAAUUAAGAAAUGUAUACCUAGGUAUUGAAGGUUUGUUUAUAUGCUGAAUACAUAAUUUGAUUUUUAGUGUUGUCCUCUAAUCAGACUACAAUUUAGUGAUAUCUUCUUCUGAAGAAGUGUAACCAGAAUGUGUGGUGAAGAAUAUCUGUCCUGGGAUUUGAGAGGAAAGAGCUUGAGCUAUAUGACACAUGACAGAACUCUGGAGGAGGAGGUGUAGGCUUUAUGAAAGUAAUGCACAACAUAGGCCUGCAUUUUUACCUUGAAGUACUUCAAUGCAAAAGGACUGGGAGAGUGCCAGAAACAUUUAUGAGCUCCCUGGGUCUUUCAAAGACAUACAGUCAACCUACAGGAGAUGAGUAAUUUUCCCUGUGGUAAUCUUUGCAUAGUUAAUGUUCUGCUGCGUAGAAAUUGAGAUAUAAAACCUACCUUGAUUAAUACUGAACUUUCUGGAAAACAGUCUUAAGUCUCCGUUACUUAAAUUGAAUAGAAGAUGAAUUUUCAAUAAAGCAAUCCAUGAUUUGUCAAAGCUGUCCACUGGCUGGUACUUAUAUCAGUGAAUAAGGUUCUGCAAAGAGCUGCUGGAUGGUUUUAGAGCAUGUGGUGACUUGCAAAAUGAUGAAGCAGGUUCUGAUUUCUGGCAGCAUUUUGAGUAACAUGCCAAUAAUGCUAUUAAUAUCUAUAUUGACUGCCAGCUGUUAACUAUUCUUAAAGCCUUUUAUGGUUCAUUCCCUCAUUGGUGCUACUAAAUGUUUUCUUUUGUUGCUUUCAUUUAAUUGGUUUUGUACUAGGUAUCAAGAAGUUUUGUUUCUGCAUCUUAAAGUUUCUUGUCACAGUGUAACACAAGUCAGCAAUAGCUGGCAACAAUGAAGUUGCUGUCUGAUUUUGAGUGACAGUCAGAAGCCUCUUGAACCCAAUUUGCUUGUUUCCUGUAAGGUAAGCCACCUAAUGGCUGUCAAAAUGGAUGACAACCAUCUCCUCACACCAGCUCUACUGCUCAUCUGGCACACUCCACCUCCCAUACUCAAUGCAGCUUGCUGAUCCAGCAGAAAGCUUACUUAGGCAAAAGAGAAAAGGGUUAGGGAGCUGAAUUUUUUUUUUUCCAGCAUGUCAACCCAGUGUCAGAGUUAUUUAGAGACAGGAAGGAGCAAUGAGAAGGGGUGGAGUUGCUUCAUCUAGCACUAAAUUGCCAUGGGACUAGGUUGGCAGUCUUGUGAAACCUAAUCCCAAAAUACUCUGGGUACUUUCUACUUGAUUGUCUUCUGUACGAUGUGAAUAUUGAUGUCUCUUCUCACUUGUUAAUUAAAAUAACUGUUUCAUGUUUUUUCUCAACCUUCUACUUUCCCAUUUGUUAGUAAGCAGUUGUUAUGAAGAGGCGUAUUAUUGUAGUAAUCUUAUGAUUUUUGAGUAUCAAGAUAAUCUGGGAUUUGAAACAAAGAUAACAACAGUCAGAAAGGGCAGUAACCAAGAUGGAGCACUUAUGCUCUAGCUGCUAGCUUGGGAAAAUUCAGGUUUCCUUUUAUGCCCAGUUUAAAGCCUCCCUUUUUUAUUUAGUGGUAAUUAGUAAUCCUGACUCCAUAAUUAGGGAGGUAUUCACGAAAAUGCUCUAUCUUACAAAAUUUUGUUUCAAUACAAAAUGUAUUGAUGUGUUCCAUGAUAGCAGUGUCACUGAAGACAAAUCAAAACCUAAUUUUUUUCCCUAAACUAGUGUUAGUUUUUCUUUUUGUAAUCUCUUAGCCUUAGGAGCUUCUUGAAGCAAAGUGGUUAGGUUUCAGUAAGGGAAGGGAAAGCAUUGUCUUGAUUGUUUAAAAUAAUAAUAAUAAAAUCUAAUCUGGAUGUUUACCACCAGCAUGAUAAAGACUUAUAAUCCUUAAUUUGAAAUCGGAGCUUUAGGACCUCGCGCUAUCCACAACAUAAGUCUUUGAAUCACUGUGUGUGAAGGUCAAAAGUAAUAGGUUAAAGUAGCUGAAAGAGGCAAGUCACCUUUGUAAGGUUUUUUCUUUUUUUCUCCCUUCUCUCAUUUGAGUAAAGAACUGUUUCUUCCUACCCUAUUCUUUUACUUUUAGAGUAAAUCUGGGAAGGGAUUGGAGACUAUGAUUGACAAUUUAAACAGUCCUGCACUUAGUUUUGUGAUGAAUAUUGACUGCAGGCUUUUUGAUAUUCUUUUUCUUUUAAGUAAUUGAAUGGUGAUAGCACCAUUCAGAUUCAUCAGUAUCCAAAAAGGCUGUGAGCAGUCUGACUUCUGAUGUAUGGAGUCCCAUACUAUUAAGUGUUGUAAGUGUUGUCUUCACAUUUAAUAUUUAACACUGUCUUAACAUAAGUGUUGUCUUAACAUUUCUGUCCACUGGAUUUGAGAUAAACAAUAUUUACUGGUUUCAGUAGCAGGCGUACAACUCAGAAUAUCACUUAAGUGUAUGUAUAAUUUUCUCUGACAUUUCUGCCUAGAAAGAAAAUAGCUGUAUAUCCCCUGACUUAGUGGUACUUGUUGUGAAGCUUCAAGUGCAAGCAUUUCUGAAGUUAUGUGGUGGAUUGGGAAAGCUGCUUCAUCUAAGAAACAGCUUUCUUCUGUGUGACAUCUUUUAUUACUGUUAUGGGUAGUCUUCCUACCUGGCCACAGAUUACCUAGAAGCAGGUGUACCAGAAUAAGACACAGUGAGAGGUGGCACGUGGGUUGAAGAGAAGAAUCCAAGAGUGAUGGUCCUAUGUGUUUGGCAGUGCCCUAUGAAGUACAUCUUAAACUGUCAUCUGGAGGCCUUUUAAAAGAUGAGACAACGUUUUAUGUAACUGCUGAGUGAAAAUGGAAGAGGGGUGAUAAAAUAUAAAGUGACUUUUCUGUAUUUUGUCUUUACAGGGCUAUCACAUUUCUUCUGUAUUUAUUCUGGAAAACUUUGAUUGUACAAAUAGAUACAGAUCUUUAUGAGAAUGUUUGAGAGCUAAAAUGAAAUACCUCUGGUGACAUUAAGAUAUGUUAAACUUCUGUAUUUGCUCUGUAGAGAAAAAGUAGAAGAAAGUAGCAAGGCAUCUCUUCUCAGUGACAGCUUGCCCAUGCAAGUUUAAUUCACUUUUCAAAUUAACUUCAUUGUCUUACGUGAUUACUCUCAGUUUCUCUAAGCUCUUGUCUAUCUGAUGACUGUAACUUUACAUCUUCAUUUCAAAAUACUUCAUUAUAUGUGCUAAAGGCCUAGACUGUGUUCUUUUUCCUGAUCAGUUUUACUAUACCUUUGACAGAUGCUUGAAGUGUAAACAAUGAAAAUGACCAUCUCUUCUAUAAAUGAUAUGUAGGUAGGAGAGAAUCAGAGUCAGUGUUUAAUUCUAACUUCCACGAUGUCUUUCUCAUUAAGUAUUUAAGGCUAUAAAAACAAUACAUGCAUUUUUUUCUAAAUAAUACUACUUUUGAUUCAUGUUAUGCAAGAAAGGUGUUAUAAUUCAUCUGUUAACCAAAGAGAAGUUAAAAAUUUAUCUACUCUUUCAUAGUUGAGAAGCAAUUCUGAGGAAGAAGUGGACAAUAUUUCACAUCUCCAGUAGGAGUUAGGCAGUUAAUCUGUGUUAAUCCUUCUGAAAGUCAUACCACUCAAUUAUCUCUCUUAAUGCCCAAUCAAAUAAGUUAGCUUGUUACCUUUAACUAACAAAAUUACGUGAUUACUCAGUGAAAUAAAAGACAUUUGUAUUUAAAUAUUUAUUUUGCAGAAUACAAAGUCUUAGUAUUAAAAUACAUUUGCAAUUAAUCAAGUUAUGAAUUUCUCCUAAAUAUACCUUAACACACAACUGUCAGACAAGCAGGAUGUUCUAUAUAAUGGUUAUUAAUAAUGCUGAUUAAUAAGCUAAAUGCAGUAACUAAUAGUUGUAAUAGUACCUUCCUAAUAUGUCAAAGGUCCACAUUCAUAACUUGUAGAUGAGGUAACUAAUGUCAAUAAGGAAGUAAUUGCUUAAAAUUAAAACUUCCCAACCAAAAUGAGUUUUCUUAACUGAUAAUUUGAAGUUUCCCAAUAGAAAUCAGUAUUAAGUUAAGGGGUGUUAAUGCCUUGAAUUUAAUCAGAUCUGCUGUACUGAUGUUAUGGUGGAGUAAUCAUUUCACCUUUAAAAUGCUGUUCCUUUCCUCUGCUUUUUAACUAGUUUACUUUAUAUCUUAUGACUUCCAAUAUCUAUUUUUGUUUGAGCAGAGGUAUCUCUCUACUCCUUCAGAGCUCUGUUUGCAUUAAUAUUUUUCUUUUUUGCUUCUAGAAACCUAUUUAUUUCCUUUUAUUCAUUCUUACCUAGACUGAGCUUUCAUUGUUCUUUGUCAUUUAAAUGCUGGCAGCGUUUCUUCUGAUAGUGCCUAAAUGUUAUGUAUUCAUUACAACUGCUGUUCCUUCCAUCCCCUCCGUGCUGCAUCAUGGAUCUUCUUAGAGAGUCUGGAUUUAAUUGUCCCCUGGAGAAUUAUGUACUCAUCAGUCUGAUUGGAAUUGGUCAUCUGCAGGGCACUGUGAGAAUAAGCAAAGGCAAGGAAAUAUUCCUAACCCAUUGUGUUCAUUGUUAGUGAAAGUAUUGAAUUAUUUGCAGAACCACCCAAGGGUCAGAUAACAAAAAGGUGUCGAGGAAUGUUUCCACAGUGUGUCUGCCCUGGAAUGAGUCAUAAAAUGUGAAUGUGGAAUUUUCUCAAGUUAAUCCAGGUUGGAGGGAUCGCAUGGUGAUAUCUGUGAAAGAUCAUGUGCAAAUCUGUUUUUUUUCCUCCACAUUCACAAUGGUGAAGCUGUAUUCCAGUUCUCUUACUUGAUUCUCUUGUAAUUCCCUCCUCUCCUUCUCAUGUAAAUCACCAAGAUUUCUGUAGUGAAUGUACCUGCUAAAAUAUCAGCUGUGGUUUGUUUUUUUUUUUUUUAAUAGGUCCUUGUAUAUCUGCAAUAGAAGUUUGGGACAUAAGUAGGAAAGGGAGGUAAUGCUGGCUCUGCUGAUAGAGCUGCCAGGUAGACAUUGCAGAACUUGACUCUUUCUGAGAGCUCAGAACUGACAAAAUCACAAAAAAUCUGAAGUGACUAUUAAUGUCUGCUUGCUGCUGGCUGCUCCAUGUUGCUGGGAUCAAGCAACCUCUGAGGUGCUUGCUAUUUUGCUGCUGGCAAUUAGAUGAUACCAAACAUAAUUAUAGGUGAUUUGACAACUUCAAUUCAGGCUACAACUGAUGUGGUAAUAACAGGACAGAUUUUUUCUUUUGCUUCAACUUGUUCUAUUUUUCAAAACUGCUCUUAUUUGGUAACUGGUGCUCUGAAGCUGGAAUUCUGAGUAGAGCAAAAUCUACAACGAUAUUCUUUUAGCAGCGAAGCUCUGCUGAAGCCAAUAUCUUUAUAUUCUGUUCCGAAAACACGAUUCUCCAGUGCUCAACUCACUGAGUUGUGGGACUGCACUUUAGUAUUACAGAAGAGAGGAAUUCCCUUCAACUGAUGAAUGUGGACCAGGAUCCUGUGGGUAUGCCUGUCUUUCCAGUGCCAGGCUAUUCAGAGGGGAAUGGGAACCGAAGGAACUAUGUGAAUGCAUUCUGAGUCAGGCUUGGCAGAAGGGUUAAUUGGCAGCUGGAGUACUAUAUUGAUUUAUAUUGCUUCCAGAACCCAAACUGAUGUCAGAAACCCUUAACUGCAUCAUUUACAGAGAUUUAGCUGCUUCAAAAUAUUAUUUCUCAGCUCUGAAUGGCUUUAGAUGAGAAUAUAGAAAAACUGGAAUUGUUUACUAAAAUUCUGUUUUUGGUUUGUUUGUUUUUUUUUUCCCCGUAUAACAUGCCUUAAUAAUCAUUAAAUGAGUUGAUGUAAUUUUGAGUAAACUAUCAUAGUCUUGAUGUCUGGAACCAUUCUUUUAUUUUUGUAAAAGGACAGUGCUUUUUCUUAUAUACAGAAAUAGCUUCCAUUCCAGUUUUGAGAAAUAAAAGGGCGACUGUGCUCAUCUUUCCCCCCCCCCUUUUUUUUUUAACAUUGGAUAUGGUUAAUAGCAAAGCAGCUUUUUUCAGUUUGUGAGGUGUUUUCUUUAUUAUUUAACAAGGAGAAGCAACUUCUGUUAGUUUCUUAAUAAGUUACAUAAGAGUUUGUUACUGUAUAUGUUAUAUAUGAAGGUAAUGUGAAAAAUUAGGCUAAUGUUGCACUGGAUUAUAAAGAUACUUGUCUGUAAAAUAUAGGCUUAGCAUUAGAUGAAAACACUUUCUAGUAGACAGAAAUAUCUCAAGGAUACCUGUUUUAUUUGCAGUUAUUCUUUGUCUCCUUGUAUUUAUUCUGUCACUGUGGAAGAUUCACAGAUGGUUGACUCUGGGAUUGGUCUGGUUUUUGAUUUGUUUGCCUGUACUGAAAGUGUUGCUGGUGCAAAACAGCAUCAACAGUGGAGAUGAGGGACCCUUAUGAUGAACAGGACAUUUCUCAAGUCUGCUGACAUGGUUACCUAGGGUGAAACAAAAUUACAGGCUUGGAAACUCUGGAAAAGCUCAGCAUCAGUAUUUGAGGUAAAAAUGAACAUACUGAAGUAAUCUUGGGAGUGUCCUUAUUAAGUUCAUGGAAUUGAUUGGAGAAGAAAUUUUCAUCAAGAUUAUUUUUGCAUUUAAGUUUUCAGUAUUGAUUUAAAAGAAAAAAUGACUUCAAAUAUCUUUUUAGAUAUAGCAAAACUAAUACUUGAGGUGAAUAUAUCAUGUUAAUUUUGUGCUUUCCAGCUUUGAGAAUACUGUGGAUCUGUUAGAUAUACAACAUUUGUGUUCUUAUGUUGUAGUUUUGUAAAGAUGUUAACGUAUGAAAUAGACUUGAAUGACUACUAGAUUGAUGUGAAUAGGUAAAUGUGUUUUUAUAGGAAUUAACUUGAAUUGCAUGCUAUUAUUACUAAUAAAGUAUACAUAUGCUGAUGUGUUUAGAAAGUAAGUAAUGUUUUUUCUUUAUGAUCGGUUUACUGUAUUAUGGCUUGAAAGUGUGAUUCAUUAGAAAACAUUAAAAGAAAUCUGAAUUUCAUUCUAACUUUAAAUGAAUUGUGCAUGGAAAAAUCAUUAUAUUUAUUUGAAAAAUGUUAUAAAACAUUACUAAUGUAUUUCUCGUAUGAACCAAUUACUAAUAUGAAUAGGAUUAGGGAUGCAUUAAUUCCUUGCAUAUUUAAUCUAUCAAAAAAUAGCUUUUAAAUUGUUUGUAGCUUUGUUUCUACUACUAAAUUAAAAUGUGCUUAGAGUGGAUUUAAAUAUUUUGUUUUCUCUCAACCAGUUAUAGUGUGGUAUUGACAUGUCAUAAAAUGUUUAUAAGCAAGUGAAUUUCUACAGCUAACCUUGAUAUUGUAAUUCUCUUUAAAAAUAGUUUUUAUAGCUCAGAGGUCUUUUUUCUUCUUGCGUUUCAGAGCCGAAGCCUGCAAAUUAUGUGAUUAACCUACAAGCUGAUAUCAUGAUGUCAAAAUGCAGUUUGGAAAGCAUAAGCACAGAGGCUGCAGAGAUUAAAACGGUAAGUGCAUGCUUUGUAGUACAGGAGAAAUAGAUUUUUUAUGUAUCAUUUUGCUGUAUUCUGCCUGAUAUGUAAAACUCCUUCAGGACCACCACGUCACCAUAAGGUAAGUGAGACUGUAGAAAUUUACCCUGAAUUUCUUUGAAAUGAAUAAGAAUGAUUAAAAUAGCUAAUUUAUUUUAUCUGUAGGUGGUUAGAUAAAGCAGUGGCAUAAAGAAAAAAGGCAUUUGUUGUGAAAUAUGUGCCUUGAUAUCUCUUGUGAAACUGAAUGUAAAUGUGUUCUUUUUGUUUUGACAUUUUUAAAAAGUGAAUGUUGUGUUUAAGUAUUUCUUGUGGGUUUUUGCAGUGAAAUGUAUUUCUAUAGAAUAAAUAAAAUCAAUUUUUAAAAAGUGGGAAGAGGGAAGAUGUGUAGGAUUAAAAUUAGAAUUGAGUUUGUUUCAGAUAGAAGGAUAAAUAAACAACAAGAUAAUAACUAUAUAACUAAAAUAAACAAGAUAGAAGGAUGAAAAAAUAACAGAUAAAGUUAUUGUCUUGAAGUGAAUGGCAGGUAAGUUGUUACGGUCUUACUCCCAGUAAUAUACUUCAGUUUGAAUUAUGAGUUGAGCAAAAACAGGAAAGAGGCUGUCUGAUAAAGUUGUAUACAAUAAAAAUCGAGAACUUUGGUGUCAAAUUGAGGACAGACGUGUAUGGAGCUUCAUUGGUCCGCUCCUUCCCUUGCAUUCUGUAUAUCAUAUACUUAAUUUUUUUUCUGUUGCACUCUAUGUUAAGGGGCUGAAAGUGGAGGAAUCAGCAUCUCAGCAGUUCAGCACCCCCAAUUAACCAACUGCAUAGUUAGACCUGCAGUACUAUGCUUUAAACAUGUCUUUAUAAAAAAAUGGAUAGUUUGUGCCGCUAUCUGUAUGUUUGUAUUUGACAAAGGAUAACCAUCCUCCCUCCAUUCAUUUAUUCUGAAUGCUUCAUGUACUGAUGUGAGUAUAGAUACGCUAGAAACAGAUGCAUUUUCAUUUUCUCAUUUUAUUUCUGCACUGGCAAAUAGCUUAUAUCCCAAGUAUACUAUGCUGAUAAUUCUUUUGCUUUAAGGGUUUGUUGCAAUGUACAGCAGCUUAAUUUUGAUAUAAACAGUGUCCUGCUGGUGCGGUUAACUUAGCUCUGUGAGCAGCAACAGAAACUGUAUAUUAGGCAUUUGCUUCAAAGCCAGGUUUGUCCAUACCUGUGAUGGAACACUUGGCGGAUUUUAAGGGGUUGUCCAUUUAUCUGAAUCUAAGUGUCACAUUAUACUUCAUCUCUAUUCUACUGCCAGAAAGUUAGGAGGAGUCUGGCAAGCAUUCCAGCUGUUAACUGUACCAUGUUGCCUGGAGAAAUGCUUCAGAAGCAGCUCCUUCUAAUAUAGAGCCUCAACGUAAUCCUCAUCCUUAGUAAGCUCUCUAAUGAAGCUUUUCUGAACAUCAAAAAGGAACACUUGACUCCCUUGAUGUGUUGUUAGAGACCAAUGUUCUGGUUAUACUGUUAGGUUAUUUUUAUAUCAUAAAAUUACAACAAAUAGCAUCUAGUUGAAGAUGAACGUUCACAGUUAAUUGAUUGUGCUAGAGAAACCAGAGAAGCUGGUUCUAGGAAAAAUUCUUGCAGCUGAGCUUUCUAAGUGUUUAUGCAUUCUAUUAACACUUGAAAGAGAAUGGAUCUGAAUUUAUUUCUUUUCGAAGAAUGUUGUAGAACAACAUAACUUGUUAGACAAUGCAUCUGAUGAAGGUAUUUGAAGGAUAAUGGAGUUUUGUGCAGCUGCACUGCAUAUAUUGAAAUUUGUUAAAGGUAGCAUGAGGUAAAAAUAAUUUGAUUCAUCCUCUUUAAUAUUAUUGUUUGAUGGUACUUUCUUAGUUUAGACCUCUGAGCCAAAUUAUAUUCUUCAGAAACUUAGGAAAAUAUACCCCUAAUGCUGUUUUAGAAAUGAGAUAAUAUAGGAAUUUUUUUUUUUUUUUUUGCUCAAAUGAAGGUGAGCAUACAGUUCUUGGCACAGAAGGCUUAUAGUGUAUGUAGAAGUCACUUUACUGUGAGUGUUCAGUAGCUGUGAAACAACUUAGUUAAUAUUUUCCAUUUUCUUUAAAUAACAUUUACAUUGAUCUUCUACUCUGUAUUUGUACUUGUAAUAUUUUAUAAUUUUAUUUGUUCGUCUGUUUCCCAGGAAAUAAUUUUCUGUGUUAGUUCUUUGAACAGGUUAAUGUUUCAUGUAGUACUUGGAUAUGAUUUAUUGUAAGGAAUGCAAUAUUCAGACUCUUUAGGUGUUCGUGUAGAAGAAUAUUCAAGCAGCAAGUUUUGAUUCCUAUUUUCAUGUAUGGAUCAUGGUUUGUUUACUUUCAAGUGAUUUUUCCCAUCUUUUCAGAGGCUAAUUUCUCUAUUCUAAUGCUAACAGGGAUUUUAGAGAAUAAAAUAGAAAUUCCUAGGCAACAAUUUGAACCUGCAGCAUGAGAAAUAGUUCUGGUAUCAAGACUGUAUCAGAUAGAAACUCAGACAUCACAGCUAGAGAUCUGGAGGAAAGCAGAGGAAAUAUAUUACAUUUCACAGUAGUAAUUUUUUUUGUUGUUGUUAAUAGGAAGUAUAGUUUUGCAAUAACUUGCUAUGAGUACAGAACAUAUUAAGCAUGCAGGUAGCAGUUGAAAACCCAAAGAUGUGUUCCAAGAACUCCAGUCUCUUUUCUGCUUACUUCAGAGUCUCAUUCAGUAAAAGUUUUUAACAGCCCUUGGAGCAGGGUUAGAUCCAGGAUGUCCUAUUUCAGGUGAGUGCCCUACUUGGUUUGGCUUGUGUUCCUUAAUGCACUAAAACCUGACUUUUUUUGUGUGCCAAGGGACUCUUUUAACUUGGAUAUGGUCCUGUGGCUGAAAAACCUGCACCACUCUUCCAGAAUUAUUCUAGCCUGAAAAAAGCUCCUGUAAAAUUUUCGUUCCCAACCUUGUACCUAUAUGAAGUAUGUCUUUAAAUGAUAGAAUAAGGCUUUAGGUUUAUCUGAAGCUUGCAGUUCAGUGUGUUGAUGUGAACAGGCAUUAAUUAAAAUAAGGUCAUCAAGUUGUGGAUUUCACUAUUAAGAUUUUGAGUUCUGUGGCCACAAUUUGAACUUUGUAGAGCUACUGUGCUGCUUUGUCCCCCUUCUUCUAACUCACUGUAGAGCCGCAGGAAGCAGGACUUCUGUUUUCUGUAUCUUUCCUUCCAAAUUUGUCUUCAGCAAGUUUUCAGUUUCUGAUUGUCUCGGUAUCUAAAAUGACACAAUCGAUAAAGGUGGAACAUCACAGCAUAUAUCUUUGUUAUUCACACUGGCAGAGCAGGACUAUUUUUUUUUUUCUGCUUCCCACUUAGCUAGUUACAGAGUUCAGUUAACUUCUGUCCACAAAUUCUGAAAGCAUGCACUUACAUCUCAACUGUUUCCAAUUUAAAACCUGUUCUUCAAGUAGAUGUUUUUUUUCGCUUUUUUAUUUCUAGAUGGUCUU
rnacentral:lncRNA from 1 species